UACGGAAUGUGCAAACGUUAUUCGGAAUCACUGGGCUUAAAGAGUCCGUAGGCGGCAUGUUAGGUGAGGUGUGAAAUCCCCCGGCUCAACCGAGGAAUUGCGCUUCAAACCGGCGUGCUUGAGGAAGAUAGAGGUGGGCGGAACUGAUGGUGGAGCGGUGAAAUGCGUAGAUAUCCGGAGGAACACCGGUGGCGAAGGCGGCUUCCUGGACCGAUUACUGACGCUGAGGCGCGAAAGCUAGGGGAGCAAACGGG
rnacentral:rRNA from 1 species